rnacentral:misc_RNA from 1 species
GGAAGUAUCGUAACAAGGUUUCCGUAGGUGAACCUGCGGAAGGAUCAUUCAUAAUAAAGUGUUUUAUGGCACUUUUUAAAAAUCCAUAUCCACCUUGUGUGCAAUGUUAGAUCUCGUCAAUCUUGGCGAGAUUUUUAUACAUCAACUCAUUUUUUAACUAAUUUGUCUGAAAAAUAUUAUGAAUACUUAAUUCAAAAUACAACUUUCAACAACGGAUCUCUUGGCUCUC